CUGCUCAAUGAUUUUUUAAAUUGCUGUGGUAAUUUGACUAUACAAAGGUAUUGAAAUAAGAUUUUAAUUGAAUGCUAAGAGAAUGGAUUAACAAAAAAAAACUUUUUUGAAAUUAAUAAUUGAAAUUAUUUUUGUUUGUGAAGAAACAACAAUAUAAUUUAAGGACAAGAAGACCCUAUGAAUUUUAUUUCUUAUUUUUAUAAUUUAUAGAUUAUAAUAAAAAUUUAAUUGGGGCGAUUAAAAAAGAUUUAAAUCUUUUUUUUAAAAAAAAAGUGAACCAAUAAUAUUGGUUAAAUGACUAAAAUACUCUAGGGAUAACAGCGUAAUAAUUUUUGAUAGUUCUUAUAGACAAAAUAGUUUGCGACCUCGAUGUUGGAUUAGGAUACUUAUUUAAUGAAGAAGUUAAAUGAAGAAGUUUGUUCAACUUUUAAAUUCCUACUUGAUCUGAGUUCAGACCGG
rnacentral:rRNA from 1 species